AUUGAACGCUGGCGGCAUGCUUUACACAUGCAAGUCGAACGGUAACAGGGUGCUUGCACCGCUGACGAGUGGCGAACGGGUGAGUAAUGCGUCGGAACGCACCGAGUAAUGGGGGAUAACGCAGCGAAAGCUGUGCUAAUACCGCAUACGCUCUGAGGAGGAAAGCGGGGGACCUUCGGGCCUCGCGUUAUUCGAGCGGCCGACGUCUGAUUAGCUAGUAGGUGAGGUAAGAGCUCACCUAGGCGACGAUCAGUAGCGGGUCUGAGAGGAUGAUCCGCCACGCUGGGACUGAGACACGGCCCAGACUCCAACGGGAGGCAGCAGUGGGGAAUUUGGACAAUGGGCGCAAGCCUGAUCCAACCAUGCCGCGUGUCUGAAGAAGGCCUUCGGGUUGUAAAGGACUUUUGUCAGGGAGGAAAUCCUUAGCGUUAAUACCGCUGAGGGAUGACAGUACCUGAAGAAUAAGCACCGGCUAACUACGUGCCAGCCGCCGCGGUAAAAC
rnacentral:rRNA from 1 species